CAUUAAGAAGCUAUGCAUCAGCACUAGCCUUUUAAGCUAGAGACAGAGGACUACAAACUCCUCCUUAAUGG
rnacentral:tRNA from 1 species